rnacentral:rRNA from 1 species
GUGAACGCUGGCGGUAGGCCUAACACAUGCAAGUCGAACGGCAGCACAGUAAGAGCUUGCUCUUACGGGUGGCGAGUGGCGGACGGGUGAGGAAUACAUCGGAAUCUACUUUUUCGUGGGGGAUAACGUAGGGAAACUUACGCUAAUACCGCAUACGACCUACGGGUGAAAGCAGGGGAUCUUCGGACCUUGCGCGAUUGAAUGAGCCGAUGUCGGAUUAGCUAGUUGGCGGGGUAAAGGCCCACCAAGGCGACGAUCCGUAGCUGGUCUGAGAGGAUGAUCAGCCACACUGGAACUGAGACACGGUCCAGACUCCUACGGGAGGCAGCAGUGGGGAAUAUUGGACAAUGGGCGCAAGCCUGAUCUAGCCAUACCGCGUGGGUGAAGAAGGCCUUCGGGUUGUAAAGCCCUUUUGUUGGGAAAGAAAAGCAGCAGGUUAAUACCCCGCUGUUCUGACGGUACCCAAAGAAUAAGCACCGGCUAACUUCGUG